GCUGGGUGCAGUGGUGCGUGCCUAUAGUCCCAGCUACACGGGAGGCUGAAGUGGGAGGAUCGCUUGAGCCCAGGAGUUCUAGGCGGUAGUGCGCUAUGCCAAUCGGGUGUCCACACUAAGUUCAGCAUCAAUACGGUGACCUCCUGGGAGCAGGGGACCACCAGCUUGCCUUAGGAGGGGUGAACUGGCCCAGGUCAGAAACAGAGCAGAUCAAAACUCCCGUGCUGAUCAGUAGUGGGAUCAAGCCUGUGAAUUGCCACUGCACUCCAGCCUGGGCAACAUAGCAAGACCCCAUCUCUA
ensembl:misc_RNA Metazoa_SRP Metazoan signal recognition particle RNA